AUUAUUUUCUGAGGCUUAGAAAAGUACAUAUAAGACGAAAAAUUCCUUUCUAAAUAUCAAUUCCGUCGCCAUCAGGAAAUGUCAGAAACUUUGUCUUUUUAAAAAUAAAAGCGUCAACUCUUUAAAAACUUCAGUACCUCAAAGGAAAGCUGCACUGUUAACACUGAAGGAGGGCUGGGUGAUUUCUGAACAUCCGCAUUAAAGAAAUAUGCUCUCCAAACCUAGUAAUUCCUGCGGAGGCCACACCUUCUAACCUUCUCGUAAUCCACUAAUCAAAUCGGGAGCAUCUGAAAACUGCUACCAGCCAAAGUAAAAUGACAGGAGCUGAACACUGCCCCGAGAAUGCAACAGAACUUCAGCUCUGUCCCAAGGUCGUCAGCCACAGCUCCAAGUUUCUUAGCAUCAGCUUUUUCUGAACAAAAUAGUGCAUCCUGCUGGAAUCACUACUGUAAACUGAGUAUAAAGGAAAAUAAACCCUCUUUUUCUUAUCCACUAUGUUCCCUACUCCCGUGCUUUUCCCAGUGCUCCAGGUUAGUAGAGGCAAAAGAAUUCCCCACUGAUGAGGUACUACAUCCUACACAAUUUGUUCCACACAUUUUAAUUUCAUUAAGAGAAAACAAAGAUGUUUAAACAGUGAGCACUAAAUGGAUUAGAGUGGCAGUAGUAAAUUUCCUUUGUGCCUUUCUCUUAGAAUUUAGAAAGCUUUAGUUGCAAUCCC
rnacentral:lncRNA from 1 species